rnacentral:rRNA from 1 species
CAAAUCAGGUAGGACUACCCGCUGAACUUAAGCAUAUCAAUAAGCGGAGGAAAAGAAACUAACAAGGAUUCCCCUAGUAACUGCGAGUGAAGCGGGAAAAGCUCAAAUUUGAAAUCUGGUAGUCUUUGGCUGCCCGAGUUGUAAACUAGAGAAGCGUUAUCCGCGCCGGACCGUGUAUAAGUCUUCUGGAAUGGAGCGUCAUAGAGGGUGAGAAUCCCGUCUUUGACACGGACUACCGGGGCUUUGUGAUGCGCUCUCAAAGAGUCGAGUUGUUUGGGAAUGCAGCUCUAAAUGGGUGGUAAAUUCCAUCUAAAGCUAAAUAUUGGCGAGAGACCGAUAGCGAACAAGUACCGUGAGGGAAAGAUGAAAAGAACUUUGGAAAGAGAGUUAAACAGUACGUGAAAUUGUUGAAAGGGAAACGCUUGAAGUCAGUCGCGUUAGUUAGGAAUCAGCCUUGCUUUUGCUUGGUGUACUUCCUCGCUGACGGGUCAGCAUCAAUUUCGACCGGUGGAAAAAGUUCAGGGGAAUGUGGCAUCUUCGGAUGUGUUAUAGCUCCUGUUCGUAUACAUCGAUUGGGAUUGAGGAACUCAGCACGCCGAAAGGUCGGGGUUCGCCCACGUUCGUGCUUAGGAUGCUGGCAUAAUGGCUUUAAUCGACCCGUCUUGAAACACGGACC